rnacentral:rRNA from 1 species
UACGGAGGGUGCGAGCGUUGUCCGGAAUCAUUGGGCGUAAAGGGCGCGUAGGUGGCCUGCUAAGCGUGCGGUGAAAGCUCGGGGCUCAACCCCGAGUCGGCCGUGCGAACUGGUGGGCUUGAGCACUGUAGAGGCAGGCGGAAUUCCGGGUGUAGCGGUGGAAUGCGUAGAGAUCCGGAAGAACACCGGUGGCGAAGGCGGCUCUCUGGGACGGUACUGACGCUGAGACGCGAAAGCGUGGGGAGCGAACAGG